rnacentral:rRNA from 1 species
ACGCUCGACACCUACGGUAGGCAGCAGUGGGGAAUAUUGCACAAUGGAGGAAACUCUGAUGCAGCGAUGCCGCGUGAGGGAAGAAGGUUUUCGGAUUGUAAACCUCUGUCUUUGGGGACGAUAAUGACGGUACCCAAGGAGGAAGCUCCGGCUAACUACGUGCCUGCAGCCGCGGUAAUCUGAGCGGGCUGGCAAGGC